UACGUAGGGCGCAAGCGUUGUCCGGAAUUAUUGGGCGUAAAGAGCUCGUAGGCGGCUUGUUGCGUCGGUUGUGAAAGCCCGGGGCUUAACCCCGGGUCUGCAUUCGAUACGGGCAGACUAGAGUGUGGUAGGGGAGAUCGGAAUUCCUGGUGUAGCGGUGAAAUGCGCAGAUAUCAGGAGGAACACCGGUGGCGAAGGCGGAUCUCUGGGCCAUUACUGACGCUGAGGAGCGAAAGCGUGGGGAGCGAACAGG
rnacentral:rRNA from 1 species